UAGAAUAAUAUCUUCUUGCCAUAUCUCGAUCUUUUCAUCUCAAUCGUCGCUCUUGGUCUAUCUCCGGUUCUCCAUAUCCCAAUACCUCCCAGCAAGCUCAUAGCUGGUAACACGUAUGAGAUUGGACAUGUCUCCAAAAUACCGGCUUUAUACCCGACCGUCGGGUCAUCAUCGACGUUUAUAUCCAGUCGUAGGGUUCAUCAACGGCGUUUAUACCCGGCCGUAAGGUCAAAGUCGUGGUCUCCAUCGUGUUCGUAGUUAAUGGAAAACCACAUGGAAAAUACAUCUUUGUAGUUAUGUAU
rnacentral:sRNA from 1 species